GAUGAACGCUGGCGGCGUGCCUAAUACAUGCAAGUCGAGCGAACGGACGAGAAGCUUGCUUCUCUGAUGUUAGCGGCGGACGGGUGAGUAACACGUGGAUAACCUACCUAUAAGACUGGGAUAACUUCGGGAAACCGGAGCUAAUACCGGAUGAUAUUUUGAACCGCAUGGUUCCAAAGUGAAAGACGGUCUUGCUGUCACUUAUAGCUGGAUCCGCGCUCCAUUAGCUAGUUGGUAAGGUAACGGCUUACCAAGGCAACGAUGAAUAGCCGACCUGAGAGGGUGAUCCGCCACACUGGAAGUGAAACACGGUCCAGACUCCUACGGGAGGCAGCAGUAGGGUAUCUUCCGCAAUGGGCGAAAGACUGACGGAGCAACGCCGCGUGAGUGAUGAAGGUCCUCGGAUCGUAAAACUCUGUUAUUAGAGAAGAACAUAUGUGUAAGUAACUGUGCACAUCUUGACGGUCCCUAAUCAGCAAGCCACGGCUAACUACGUG
rnacentral:rRNA from 1 species